rnacentral:rRNA from 1 species
CAAUAGCGUAUAUUAAAGUUGUUGCAGUUAAAAAGCUCGUAGUUGGAUUUCGGGCGGGUGACGGCGGUCCGCCUCUGGUGUGCACUGCCGGCAUCCGCCUUUCUGUCGGGGACGGGCUCCUGGGCUUCAUUGCUUGGGACUCGGGUUCGACGUGGUUACUUUGAGUAAAUUAGAGUGUUCAAAGCAGGCGAUCGCCCUGAAUACAUUAGCAUGGAAUAGCACGAUAGGACUCUGGCCUAUUUUGCUGGUCUGUAGGACCGGAGUAAUGAUUAAGAGGGACAGUCGGGGGCAUUCGUAUUUCAUUGUCAGAGGUGAAAUUCUUGGAUUUAUGAAAGACGAACUUCUGCGAAAGCAUUUGCCAAGGAUGUUUUCAUUGA